GCCUAGUUAGCUUAGUUGGUAGUGCGUCUGCCUUGUAAGCAUUAGGCCGCGGGUUCGAUUCCCGCCCGGGGCG
rfam:Asian citrus Psyllid, Diaphorina citri - Florida Strain, whole genome shotgun sequence.